AUAAAUUUGGCAGAUAAUUGUAUUAGAUUUAGAAUCUAAAAAUGGAAAUUUAAGCUUUCCAAUUUAUA
rnacentral:tRNA from 1 species